AGUUAAUUUUAACUCAGUAAGUGUAUUUUUAACAUUUAGCGAUUUAAAUGAUGCCCAGUGUUGGAGUUAUUUCGCAGAGUUGAUUGCGUUGGUGUUGAAUUAACUCUGCUGGGAGAUAAAUAAGCUCCUCCCCUCUGCUUCAGUUUGAUUUCAAUCUGAACACGGCUCCAUUUUCUUCAUCUCCUGUUCUACACGGUAAGUGUCCAACUUACUAAAUAUUUUGUCCAGCACUAUUACAUUGACAGAGUGAGUGAUUUGACUAUUUCUACUAAUUACCACAUAAUGAAAAGCAGCUGAAUAUGUCCAUUUUGCAACAGUUUUACACAACAUGUUAGCUGGUAGCUAGUAGCACUUACACCUGAUAUUAUUAUAAUGGUAAUUCUUACAAAACAUAUUUUGUCGGACCAUACACUCGUAAAAAAUAUACUUCUACGUUUUUGCCGUUUAAAAUGAUAAUUUUGGCCUUGUGAAUGUAAGCUAACGACUAUUAGCUUCAACGAGCCGAAGUCACGUGACACCAAUAGCAGAGUUACAGUGAGGUGAACUCUUGACCUUUACCUUAUUUUGCUUUGUCUAGGUUUAUCCCAUGCUUAAAUAAAAUGCUGAUCCAUGUAAAGUUUGGUGACCUGCAAAAGUAUGUGAAGUUGGAGGAAGUCGAAGGGCUGUUUGACUUUAAUCAGUUUCAUGAGAAAGUCAUUGAACAAUUUUGCCUGCCACCUGAUACCAAAGUUACAUACAAAGAUGCAACAGAUACUGAAGUUGACGAAGAAAUAUUCAGUGACCUCCUUAGACAAGGCAAUGUGGUACAGACAGUUUUCUGCUAUGAUGAGUUCUCAGAAUGGUCAUCUGCUUCUGACUCAAGCUUCAACUCAAAUGCAUCAACAUCAACAAUACUAAUGGAUGAGAUGCCACGCAAGAAGCAAAAAACUGAGAAUCCUGAUAACUCAGUGUCUGCUAAAAAUGUAACAAUA